rnacentral:lncRNA from 1 species
AAGCUGUCUUCAUUAUAGUAUGGGGAUUCUAGUAGGGGGAUAUAGGUAGGAUGGAGAAGCUGUCUUCAUUAUAGUAUGGGGAUUCUAGUGGGGGGAUAUAGGUAGGAUGGAGAAGCUGUCUUCAUUAUAGUAUGGGGAUUCUAGUGGGGGGAUAUAGGUAGGAUGGAGAAGCUGUCUUCAUUAUAGUAUGGGGAUUCUAGUGGGGGGAUAUAGGUAGGAUGGAGAAGCUGUCUUCAUUAAAGUAUGGGGAUUCUAGUGGGGGGAUAUAGGUAGGAUGGAGAAGCUGUCUUCAUUAUAGUAUGGGGAUUCUAGUGGGGGGAUAUAGGUAGGAUGGAGAAUCUGUCUUCAUUAAAGUAUGGGGAUUCUAGUGGGGGGAUAUAGGUAGGAUGGAGAAGCAGUCUUCAU